rnacentral:rRNA from 1 species
AAUCAACGCUGGCGGCGUGCCUCAGACAUGCAAGUCGAACGAUUAAAGCUCUCUUCGGAGAGUGCAUAGAGUGGCGCACGGGUGAGUAACACGUAAGUAAUCUACCUUUGAGUGGGGAAUAACGUCCGGAAACGGACGCUAAUACCGCAUAAUGCAGCGGCAUCGCAAGAUGACAGUUGUUAAAGAUUUAUCGCUUGAAGAGGAGCUUGCGGCAGAUUAGCUAGUUGGUAAGGUAAUGGCUUACCAAGGCUACGAUCUGUAACCGGUCUAAGAGGACGGUCGGUCACACUGACACUGAACAACGGGUCAGACUCCUACGGGAGGCAGCAGUCGGGAAUUUUGGGCAAUGGGCGAAAGCCUGACCCAGCAACGCCGCGUGAAGGAUGAAGUAUUUCGGUAUGUAAACUUCGAAAGAAUGGGAAGAAUAAAUGACGGUACCAUUUAUAAGGUCCGGCUAACUACGUG